GACGCUGGCGGCGUGCUUAACACAUGCAAGUCGAACGGAGUUUCUUGGAUCAAGACUUCGGUCAAGUGAAUUGAAACUUAGUGGCGGACUGGUGAGUAACGCGUGAGGAACCUGCCUUUCAGAGGGGGGACAACAGUUGGAAACGACUGCUAAUACCGCAUAAGCGCACAGUACCGCAUGGUACAGUGUGAAAAACUCCGGUGGUGUGAGAUGGACCCGCGUCUGAUUAGCUAGUUGGUAGGGUAACGGCCUACCAAGGCGACGAUCAGUAGCCGGCCUGAGAGGGUGAACGGCCACAUUGGGACUGAGACACGGCCCAAACUCCUACGGGAGGCAGCAGUGGGGAAUAUUGCACAAUGGGGGAAACCCUGAUGCAGCGACGCCGCGUGAACGAUGAAGUAUUUCGGUAUGUAAAGUUCUAUCAGCAGGGAAGAUAAUGACGGUACCUGACUAAGAAGCACCGGCUAAAUACGUG
rnacentral:rRNA from 1 species